rnacentral:lncRNA from 1 species
AUGGCGGUUUCUCUGCGCUUUCAUCUCCAGGUGAAGCCUCUCCCCCAACAGGAUGUCCCUGAUGGGCGAGAGGGCUUUUUUUACUUACUAAUUUUCAUUUUUGUGAAAACUGACACUGCAAUUAAAAUUUUUAAAAAAUAACCAAAAAGGUCAUAGGUUUUUUUCCCAUUUGAAUUUCCACUCAGGUUUUAUUCAAGAGGGCCCCCACACUCCCAGGUUGCUCUUCCAUGAGUGCAAGGACACAGUGUGGGGCACCAAGCUCAAGACGGCCCCUGGACCUGGAUGCCGGCAAACAGACCCAGGACAAGACCAGAAAACUUGAUUUGUUUACGUGAUGGAAUGACUGCUCCAAGAUUUUGAACGCAGGAUGCAUUCAUGGGUGCAGCUGAGUGCAAAUACAGGUGAAGACCAGUGUUUGAGGCCAGAGUGUGAGCUCCAUGGCGGCAGAGAACUUGUCUCGUUUGCACCCCACUGUCCCCAGCGCCUACAACAAGCCUGGCAUUUUUACUGGCCUUAAAUAUUUACUGAAUUAAAGUUUGAAACUAAGCUGGAAUACUCUCAGCUUUUUGCUGCAUUUUUCAUCAGAAAGUCUUGUAAGCGAGAAAGGAUGCUUCAUUCAUUCAACCAGACACUCUUCAAGCACCUGCUGGAUGCAGGCGCAUUUUAGGUGCUCUGAGGUGAGGGGAUCAGGUCUGGAGUGCUCCCUGCACUUAACGUUGCUGACAGAGGGCAGUUG